CGAUGGGCGAUGGGUCUCAUGACUCAUGGCUGGACAACUGAAAGAGGGACACUGUGAAAUGACUUCGAUAGAAUCUAGAACUCCUCUGAAAAACCCUUGGAGGUCCCGGGCCCCAAUUUGAAAACCUCUGCAGAAAGGUAUGGAGUUACCGAGCCAGAGUAUCACCCAAAACAAAUGCAAAAUAAAGAGACACUCAAGCCUA